CCUACGGGUGGCAGCAGUGAGGAAUAUUGGUCAAUGGCCGAAAGGCUGAACCAGCCAAGUCGCGUGAGGGCAUAAUGCCCUAUGGGUCGUCAACCUCUUUUGUCAGGGAGCAAAAGCCUCCACUUUUGGACUAGAGGAGAAUACCUGGAGAAAAAGCAUCCGCUAACUCCGUCCCACCCGCCGCGAUAAUACGGAGGAUGCGAGCGUUAUCCGGAUUUAUUGGGUUUAAAGUGUGCGUAGGCGGAGUGUCAAGUCAGCGGUAAAAUUUCGGGGCUCAACCCCGUCGUGCCGUUGAAACUGAGGCCCUUGAGUGAGUGAGAAGUAAGCGGAAUGCGUGGUGUAGCGGUGAAAUGCAUAGAGAUCACGCAGAACGCCGAUUGCGAAGGCAGCUUACCGGCGCUCAACUGACGCUGAGGCACGAAAGUGCGGGUAUCGAACAGGAUUAGAUACCCCUGUAGUC
rnacentral:rRNA from 1 species